GAUUCGACAAACAGUCGUUGGCAAAUCAUUGUACGGUGAACAUCGAGUUGCAGUGUUGUAAAGUGUUAAAUAAAAAGUCUAACCUAAUUGUGAAAUUGAGGUUAUGUGCUGAAAAUAGCUGAAAUUCCCAGUAAAGUCCGUUGGGACCUUUGUCUAUUGUAAUCAACACAGCCAUGAGUGGUGGAUAAGGAAGUUUAAAUAGACCACAAUGUGUGAGAGUGUGUGUGGAUCCAUUGUAGGUCACUUCUAAAGGCCAUGAUGCAAAUAGCACAAAGUGGUGUGACGCUGAAAAAGAAACAGGGUCUUUCAGCUAAAAUGUCAACGACUGGUUGUGGAAAACAUGAGAAACAUAAUCGUGUUUAUUGGUGAUAACAAAACUUCAUCCUCAUGUAUAAAACACAAAGCACAAUUUCUAACCAACAUUUGAUGAGCAGAUGUAGCAACUACUGGGUUGUACAGAAAAUAUAUAAAAAAAAGUAAAAUAAGUGACGCAGAGUGAGUUAUAAACAUCUUUUAAUUUAUCAACAAAGCACCCGUUUUGUUUCUCCUAACUACUUAAAACUACCACCACCAUUGCUCCAACUGUAAGCAAAUUCUACACAUUUUCAAGUACAUUACGUAGCUAAAUCUUCGUACGGUACGAGAGCUGUUUUAGUGAAUAGACAUUUUGCUUACGACCAACCAACCACGUUGGCAAACGGAGUUUUGUUGUGUAAGGGCGCAGUUGUCGUCAUCAACGUCUCAAAGAAAUCGAUAAUCAUCCAUUCAUCUCUACUAGACAUACGUACAUACAUACUAUAUGGAUUUCAUGAAAGAAAAACUUGGUAUUUAUGAAAUCUACUCUUAUAAAUCUAUGCCUUUUUACACAAAUUUCAGUACAAUUUAAACAAUCUUGGUGGAUGGAUAUCUCUUGAUAAUUCAUUCCAUUCAAUUACGACGUUGAGCUGUUAAACAUAUAUUUUCUAUUCCCCUAACAAGAAAAUUCUGGAAAUUUGUCGUUGUUUUUCUACUAUUCUUCUUCUAUGGGCUUCGGCGAAAAAUUCAACUGAAACUCGGAUAAAUUUGGCUGCGUGAACAAUUAACAUUACAUAUUAUUCGUAAGCGGUAUUAUCAUAUAUUUUCCAAAUAACUAUAUAAUUUUAGGAAUGCCUAUGCAAACAAAUCUAGCUACCCUAACCCAAUCUACAUAAACCCAACAUUUUAGGAAAUGACUGGAAUAUGCCGUAACGCAUUUGGCAAAAUGCAACAAUCUUAUUUCCAUGUCGGACAAAAUUACUAUCAACAUUUAUUUUUUAGGCAAACAAUUUUAAAAAUUCUCUAUAGCCCGUUUUUUGAACCAUUGAAAGUGACUGCAGCAACUGUUGCUUGAUUGGUGAAAUACAAUUUCAAGAACUUCUGGAGCAGCUGGAUAACAACUAAAGCCAUUGUUGUUUAAAGCAGCCAUUACAUAAAAUUAGCAGUACCACAAUAAUUCCCACAGCGAGAGACACCCACCCAUAAACAAGCUACAGGUUUUCUUUUAUAUUGUAAUGAAAAUUCUAAAUUUUUAGCAUUAUGACUCAGUUGAUCGGUGCCUGAGCAUAAUAUGAAAAUAUAGCAUCCCUACUUAUAUACACGAAGUUACCAAGUUACUGAUAAUAUGUGACGACACAAACAGUGUAAGAAAACAUGAAUUUUGUUUUAAGCAUUAAUUCAAUUUUUACAGACAUCUGAAAAAACAAAACUCUGAAACUGUGAGAGAGUGAUAUAUAACGUACAAGCGAUGUUUUGCACCUAGAUUCCCAGAUCAUGCAACAGGUCCUUUUGAACAUUAGACACUUAAAUAUUUGAUUAUAACCUUUUUAGCUGUUGAACGAACGUUCGGUCCCUGAGCAUCUUUGGUUGAAUCAUCCAGUCGGAACAAUUUCUUGAGCUAGCUUUGGCCAAAAGUGUAAGAAAGCAUGAAAUUGUGUUUACAACUAAUCAAAUUUUUACAGACAAGCGGUAUUGAAAACCUCGCUACGGGCAAAUUAGAUCCAUACACAUAUUACUGAAAGUAAAAUUACAAUCUCUGGAUUUCAAAUGGAGUUCAAAAGAUAAAUCACCACAAGGCAGGUUGACAUUUUAAGCAAAUCAAUGUUUGAUUUUGAUUUUUUAGCAUUAUGACUCAAAUGAACCGAACCGUUCCUGGGCGUUAUUGGGAGACACUUUUAAUCUGUAUUAAUCUUGUAUUUGGCGGCGUAUAACUCUUAAAACAGGCAAAUUGUAAUUUCUUUACAAAACAAAUAUUUAAAUUGAUUUUUAGCAUUAUGGACUCAGUUGAUCUGUGCCUGAGCCAUAAUUUGAAACAUACUAUUUUGUUGGGAUCACCUAGAUUCAGUUCUCGGUUACAUGGAUAUGCUUUAAGCUCAACAUUAACACACGAUACAUACAGGCAGGUGUUAAAUUUUUAAGAAAUUACACACAUUUAUUUGAUUUUUAGCAUUAUGCGACUCAGUUGAUCUGUGCCUGAGCCAUAAUUUGUCUUAGUAAUGAAUGUUUGGGGUUCACUUACUCUAGAGUAACACGAGUUGACGUUAACGCUUAUGAUGAUAAAAAAAAGUUUCCAUUGCAACAUGUGGCAAAUCGUGAUGAUGCACAAGAAGCAGGCAGGUGAUAAAUUUUACAAAUCACACAAAAAAUUCUGAUUUUUAGCAUUAUGAGACUCAGUUGAUCUGUGCCUGAGCCAUAAUUUGUUGUUAAGGACCAACAUCCACUCAUUAGUUGAUCGAGGAAGAUGUUUGGAAAUUUGGCUCUUGGAACUCUACAAUUUUCUAAUCCAUUUUAUUGAAGUGUAAGAAACAAUGAAAUUGUUUUUCCAACUAAUACCAUUUUUACAGACGAUUAUAUUUGUAACUGAGGCGACUUGCAACCGUUUUAAAGUUUUCCAAUAGUGUAUUGUCCUGUACCCAGCAUUAUUAGCUACUUCCAAGAAAUUGGUGCCUCGGCAGCAGAACUGAUUGUUACGAAGGCGAUCAAUCCUAUUGAUCUUUGCACAAACAUUUAUUUACCUAAAAGUGUAAGAAAACAAUGUGUUUGUUUUUACAACUAAUUCAAUUCUUACAGACAACGGCUGCAAUCUAAUCUCUAGACACGAUGACUUGAAUACUACUCCACUCCACACAAUAUUGUGAUGACGGCGUUUUUUUUAACAAAUACAAUUCUAAUAUUUUUUAGCAUUAUGACUCAGUUGAUCUGUACCUGAGGGCAUAAUUUUUGAACAUCAUAUAGGUAGAAAUCAGCAUGAUAUUUAAAAUCGACCACCUUGAUUACUCUAAAGAGCUACUAGAAUUUUUCCUGACAUAAAAGGUUAAACUGAAAAACGAAGCUGUUUAUUUCACAGGCUACAUACAGACAGGUGCUUACUUUUACCUUGAACUCAAUAUACCUUUUAUCAUCGUUUUAGCCCCCAAUGCACACAUUAUCUGCUGUAACAAUUGGUUGGCCCCAUAGCCAUCAAAACCAACUUUGCUACUACGUAAGGAUCUCUUAACAUUAUGUAUUCUUGACUUUAAAUUAUGUUUUUAUAUAAUAACGGCAACAGUUUGUAAAACAACCUUGCUGCGCAAAUAAUCUAUGAAUAUUUUCUAAAUUAAAUUAUAGAGAAAUAUAGAAAAAUUAAGUUGCUUGGUUGGACUCUACUAAGGAUCAAAACUGAAAAUACAAUUUAUGGCGUAAGAAAGUAGUAUCCCUUUGGUUUGCUAAUUCCAAUUGUAUUUUCCAGGCUAUAAACUAUUUUAAAUCUAAAAAGAAACUUUAUAGAAAACCAUGUGGUUUGGACUAGCAGACUCUACUAAGGAUCACAGAGACUUGAGAAAUUCUAAGAAAUCUGAAAAUACAAUUUAAGGCGUAAGAAAGUAUCCUAUUGGUUUCCUAAUUCCAAUUGUGUUUUACAGGCUAUAACAGAUUUUAACUCUUAAAAAAAAGAAACAUUCAAGCAGCUGAUUUUGUUUUGUAACUAGUAAACGAUGUUGGCAGUCUAUGAAGGCAACCAUUUAUGAAAAUAUCACAGUAUAAAUCGUAAGAAUAUUUAAACAAAAAAUAUCUUUUGAACCAUUAAUGCGCUUUUUGCAGCAAAUCUAUUAAAUCGUAGUUGUCUGUCAUCUAAUUUGCUUUGAGCAAAAUGUGCAAAAGUAUUUGUUUAUCUUCUUCAUCUACAGAAUUGUCAAGUGCUGAACUGAAACACACACAUCGCUUUAAUGUUUGUUUGUUCGUUUACUUUUCUUGUUUAUUUUCUUUCUGUCUGCCAGUUUCUACUCUUUGUGUUUUUAUAGCUGAAGUUUGUCGCUGACAAGAACAAGAGUAUUUGACAACUGAAAUCUAAUUGAGAAAGAGAAAGUAACCAUAUGUGUAAAUAAGAUGGCUGGCUAAAGAAAGAAAUUCAUCACAUACACACAGUAUAAAUAAAAAAAUAUUAAAAAACCAGUACGCUAAGGGAAUCGCUCUUUUAUGAUAUUUAACCAAUAUCGUAACCCGUAUUGAUGAAUUUAUUACAGAAAAAAACUCACGCACAAAAAUUCACACAUUCGUGAUAAAAAAAUCAAAAACAAAAACCGGCAGCUAACACUGAAACUCCUACCCCGGCGGUAUAAUUGAAAUGUGUGUGUCCGAUCGAUCAUCAUGUAAGAUUUACCAACUAAUAUUGAAUGCCACCUCUUGAAUUACUAUGCCUUUUACAGAUCAAGAGAGAGUCCUGUUGUUAUUUGUUCUUUCUACAAAAAACACGCUUCAUAUCACACUUCCGUUGAUGUGAAGAGACUUGGCUAGCUAACUCACAAGCACUCUAAAAAUAUAGCUAAGGGAAUCGCUAAUAUUUUUUGUGACAAUAACGUUGCAGCAUAAGUAUAUAAUAUAUAAAAUUUUUAAUGAUUUUUGUGCGUGUUCCAUGUGUAUGUGUAAGAGCUGAUCAUGAUAAGCUGCUGCUGCUAAGGGAACAACCCAACCAACUCGCUCCAAAGUUGGUUAACACUAAACUUUUGACUUUAAACUUGUAUGAAUUUCUUACAGAACAUAAAAACCUAAUAAAACAGCAAAGAAAUACCACAACCACCAGCGCCACCAACCCACCCCAUUCUCAAAAAAGAAGCUUAAUACUGCUAAGGGAAUCGCAAAUGUUAUUAAAUAAUGAUGAUGAAAAUGUUGAAAAUCUGGUGGCUUCAUCUCCAUUUGAACAAAAAAUUCCAAUCUCAAAACUCAAGAACAAACAAAUCUAAAGCCGAGAGUGUAAGUGUAUGCUUAAGACACACGAAUGAAUCAUGAUUUUUUUUAUAAUUUUCAUAUCGACAAACAUAAAUUAAUCUUUAUUUACACGCUAAUGAAAUAAUUGCUAAGGGAAUCGCAAAAUAUUAUUUAAUCAUAAGCCUCGAAUGCCGUUGUGUUCGAUGUAACAUCACACAAUGGUUGCAAUAUUUAACUUGCAAGUGCAGAUAAAUAAAGUUGAAAUAAAUCGCCACACAAAGUGUGAGAGUGAUCAUAAAUUCUAAAUACGAAUGCAACUUGUGAGUUAAAACCCAAACACUGCCGCACUCAGAGAGUGCGUGUAUCAUGGCAAAUUUUGUAACAUCUAACACAUUAGCUGCUGAACACCAGGCAUUAUUUAAAUAUUUAAAUUAAAAAUCAUGUUAUUCAUAAUCUAAUAAACAUGUGCAAAGAGUAUAACUGAAGGAAAAGUUUAUAAAUUAAUGUGUGGUUACUAUUUGAUUCUAGAGUAAAGGCUUGAAAAACUUGUGAUUGUAACUUAUGGCAUAAAAUAAAACCCAAAGAAGUCACAUUACCCGGCGUUGUUGCUUCUAUAGAAAGAUCAUGUACCAUAUGAUCGAUCGUACUUCGAAUGUAAAUCCUAUCUUUGUACCCUUAAAGAUUCGGUAAUUCGUUAAAUAGAGCACAUCUUUGUAAAAAUCAUCACUCUCGUAUGAUUAAUUUAUCCAUAUAAUAAAAAUCACUUGUUUUGUUUAGUCUUAUAUUAUGUAUGUUGGAUGACAUUGCUUCUGGAUAUCUUAAGUAUAUAGUCAUAUAAAUACAAACGUAAAUUUUAGAGAACAAAUUUGAAAUGUAACCACAUUCACAAAAAAUAAAAACCCAUUCACCAAAUACUCGCUCAAAUAUCAGUAUAAACAAAUAAUGUCGUAGCUUUUGUUGGAAAUAUGAUGUACAAAAAAUGCCUAACAACACAAGCGGCUCAGACUGAGCCAGCCAACCCAUGCUGCUUGAAAGUUCCACUAUAUUUUUGCAAAAGAAAUUGUGUGAAAACUUACUUGCGAGCGCUACAUGCAUGUUCAGAAGAACGUGUCUAAAAACAACAGCAGCAGUACAGCUGUCAAAAAAAACAACCAACCAACAAAAAAAUAGAUUUUUUUUUUGUUUUCCAUCUCUUUUUGAUUUUUAUAGGAUUAUGUAACAGUUGAACUGUGCCUGUGCAUAAUUUUGAGGCAGUCAUUCCUAACAGAUUGAAAAAGGCUUAAUGUAAUUUAUACCAAUGAAAGACAGACAGAGAGAGAGAGAACACGUAGCCAGACAACAUUCAACUUUAGCUCUUCAACGUUUUUUUUCUUUCUCGUAUUUCUUUCUUGUUUUCUUGCUUCUUAUUAACUUUUUUGUAGCCUCAUGUCUCAGUUGAUCGGUGCCUGGACAUGGUGAGAGAGCGAGCUUCCAUUUUGGGGGUGACAACUAUUGUCAAACUUUCUUUUCUUCUUUCUUUUUUUUAUUUGUUUGUUUUUUUUGUUCUACGUUUUCUUUUUUUAUAACUUCUUUUUUAGCUUUAUGUCACAGUUGAUCGGUGCCUGUGCAUAAGUUGUUUAAAAAAAAUAACAAGUGAUGAGAGGGAGAAAGAGAGAGACAGUUUAACAAAAGUAGUUUGGGCCAAGCGUUCUUCCUCAAAGAGCGCCGUGACUAGCACUAACAAAAAAUAUGGGAAUGUUUCUUUUCUUCUCGAAUUUUCUUUCUAUUUUUUUUUAUUAUUAUUAUCAAAGUUUUAGCAUUAUGUCACAGUUGAUCGGUGCCUGUGCAUAAAUAUGCAUUAAUUGAGGCUUUCCUUAGAUUGGAGAGAGGAGUGUCGCGAAGAAGAGAGCGAAUAUAGACGAACAGGAAGAAGAGUGGCUUAACCAGACCCCAGACUGUUGUUGGUUUCUGUUUUUGUUCUCUUUUUUUGUGUUUUUAUUUUUCUAUUUCUUUGAAGACUCUUUUUUUGCUUACUGUUUUGCCAGUAGAGUAGAUCCAGAAUAUUUUCUAGCUUCAUACGCAGUUGAUCGGUGCCUGUGUAUGACUUGUAAGGGCCAGACUUGUGGGCUACACUUAUUGCUUGAAAUCAGCUGCUGGUAUAAACCAACCAAGUUCCCUAACUGAAUGAACAUUUAUUUAAGUGUGAUUGUGAAGAAGAGCUGUUUUCUGUCAGCUGCUGCUUGACUCGACUACAGCCAUUGUUGACUCGCCAGCUUGACAAUCGACCGAUAAAACUUAAGAAAACAGGUUAUUUUUUAAAUUUCAAUUCCUCUUGGCUAAUUUGUACCAUUUACAGGCAUUUCCCUCCAAGCACAAGUACUAUAAAUGUAUUGAAUUUUUCAUUUUCCUAUCCACUUUACCACACACCACCACGAACACAAAUAUCUCUAUCCAUCCAUCUACAAAUAUCGUUAAAGGGAAUCUAUACGAUACAACAACUCAGCAGGGCUUCAUAAACACAAAACGCAAAACCAUUACAUGUUUCUAAAAAGGGAAUCCAGAAACACGGCGCCCACUCUAUUUUCUUUCUCUAACUAUUUUUUUUAACCAGCUAUUUUCUAAUUUAUUUUUCAUUGUAAUUUCAAUCAAAACCAAAAAAAAAGCAAAAGAAUUUUUUUUUUAAUUUUUUACAAUUUAAAACGAUAAUUUUUAAGCCAAAACAAGAUAAAAAUGAAAUGUAACCGAAAAAGAAAUGAAAAACAGACCAAUCAAACCCUCAAAUGUUUUGUACGCCAAAAAAAAAUUAAACUACAUACUAUAAAUAACAAUUUUGUUCAAAAUUUUCAUCUGUAUUACUGCCUAUAAUAGUUUUUUAAAUGAAUUAUUAUCUUUGUAUUUCCACAAUUGUCAAAUAUUAGUCAUUGUUAUAAAAUAUUCUAUUCUACAUCUACUACAAUUAAUUAUUCCACAAACUAUGAAAUGUCACUUUUUAGAUUUGUAGCUAGAUAGUAACGAAAUUUGUUAAAUUAAAUUAAUUUUAUUUAAUUCUGUUCUUGUAAAGUAUUUUCUCAUUUUGUUGUUUAAACAAUUCUUUGUAAAAUAAUUUUUGUUAAACUCUGUUUUUUUUUAUAAAUUGUUUUGUAAUUUUGAAAUUUUACAAUUAAUUAACUGAAAUCAAAUCAACUACUGCUGGGGAAUGAAUGAAUGUGAUCCCGACCUGUACAAAAUACAAACAUUUGAGUGCGAGAGAGGGAGAAAUGAAAGCAAGCGGAAAAUUAACACAAAAGCCUAUAAUCGUCUAUGAGGGAUAUCUAAAGGGAGAGUGAGAGAGAGAGGAGAUAAAUACACACAGGGUUUUGCGAUUCCAAAAAAAGCCAAGGGAAUACAUGAGCCAGGAGAUUAGUUUAACGAUAUGCAAUUCAGAGAGAGGGCGAGAGAGAGUAAAGUAUUUAUUACCAAAACCUAGUUUCAAUCUGCGACCGUAAUCCAAACCGGCAGCCACAAAUUAGCAACUGAAAUCCUUGAUUACCACUACACAUAAUUAUAAUUUAUACAAAUCACCAAGGUGUUUCGUUAUCAUCAACAACCAGGACCUCUAAUAUGUCCUAAACAGCAAAUGCAUCAUAUCAGCCUUUAAACACCUAAUACAACACAUCAAUUCUUCUCCUAUUAAACUAUAUUGGAAAUGAUGUUACAUUUUCCAAACAGUACUACUACUACUACAUCUUCGUUGAAGAUACAAAUCUUUCAACCACAACAAAUUUAAUUUAAAUUUUCCAAAGAUGUGAAUCAUCAAACAUCAUCAAAUCAACAACAUUUCUUCAACUACAAAAUGAAGAAGUUUGUAAUGUUGCUACAACGAAUACAAAGUCUUCCAAAUAUGCAGCUGCUAAUACACGACAACAAUUCUAAAGACUUUGGGUCUUCUUCAAAAUAACUGCAAAACAGACUUUGGUCUUCCGAAUUCUUUGAUGCGUUUGCCACAACGAUUUAUGGUAAUCAUCUUCCAUCUUCAAUCCCUGUAAUAAACAUUAACUAAAAUCACAAAACUUAUAAAAUGAGGCAGACAAUCUUAAUAUCAUUAACGACAUAAAUUCCAAACACCUGAGUUGUUGUUCCCAAAUCUUCAGAUUAGAGAGAGAGAGAGAAAGAGAUAUAAUAAAUAGAGGGCUGUAACACACUUCAAGUCUUACAUGUUGCCUAAAUAAUAAUCAUCAUCACCAACACCAUAACUAUAACAACUUUUGCUAAAGAAUGACUUUUAUCUAAAAAAAAACACAAUUAAAUCUAUAACAAAUCUUUGAGAAAAUGCUGGGUCAGAGUUCUUGUACAAAAAAACACCAUUGUGUCAUCAUUAUCAUCACCAUCGAUCGGUCCUAGAACAUAGUUGAAGAGGAAAGCUUGCUUUAUGAUCUCUAAAAAGCGAUUGUCAUCUUGAUUACUAAAUGAAUAUUGUUGUGAGACGACUUAUGGACUCUAUAUUUAAAUCUUAUUAUACAUAAUAUCACUACUACCAAACACCUUGAUCUUCUAUAUUCAAAUUUCACCACUGAGUUUAAAAUUAUCCAGAGCAUAAAUGAGAGAAAGAGAGAACGAACGCGUAUAAACUAGAGAAAAAAAGACUUCUUAACUUCAAACAGACUUUUCAACAAGAACGAACACACAUAAUAAAUCCACAACAUCGUCCAACGUAAGAGGGACGACUUCGCUUUGAAAUCAGAAGCAUUAGAAAGUAUUAGAAACUAAAUAUCAAUUACAUCAAUUAUUGUUCGAUCACAUUCGUUCUGGUUGCUAUGCGAUCAAUCCUUGAGCUGUUAAUCUAUCAACCAAAUCCUUGAGUUUUGUGGCAGCAGACGUUCUACUUGCCACCACUCACUUUCAAGAUGCUAUAGGACCACUGAAUUACCAUUCCUUUCCUCUUAUUAACGAAUACUACUACUACAUCCAACACCACCAAUUUUGCUUGUAUACAUCUAAAAUCCUGGGACUGUCAGUUGUUCUCCACUACUUUGAAUAUGUCUCUGAGUCCAGCCCCUAUAGUUUUAUGCGGCAAAUCUUAAAAAUUCUAUUGGGAAGAAUAUCUAUUCGUCUUCAGCAAAUUACAACAGUUUACUACAUAACAACACCAACAUAUCAACUUUAACAUCAGCACUAUCAUCACCAACAAAUCAACUUUAAAACAUCAUCAGCACUAUCAUCACCAACAAAUCCUUGAAAUAUUUCCGAAUUGACGGCGGCGAGGGACUUCCAAGUUUUGACGGCGGCGUGGGACUACCAUGAUAUGACGGCGGCGAGGGAUUUCCAUGAUUUGACGGCGGCGUGGGUCUUCAAGGAGCUGACGGCGGCGAGGGACUUCUACGAUUUGAUGGCUGCGGGGGUUCUCCAGGUACAGACGGCGGCGUGGGAUUUUCAUUGCGGACGGCAGCGAGGGACGAGGGUCUUCUAGGUGCUGAGGGCGGCGAGGGACUUCGACAUAUUGUUGGCGGCGGGGAUUCUCCAGGUGCUGAUGGCGACGUAGGACAUCCAUGUAUCAUCGGGGCAGGGCGGAGUUGCAGGGUCGGCGUAGCGGUUCAAUUCCUAGGUUCUUCGUUGUUUGGCAGGUUUCCGGUUAAGCAUUGUAUAGGGGCGUUUUUCAAGUAUUGACUGCGGCGUGGGAAUCCAAGUUUUGACUGCUGCGAGGGAAUCCAAGUUUUGACUGCGGCGAGGGAUACCAAGUUUUGACGGCGGCGAGGGAAGCCAAGUUUUGACUGCGGCGAGGGAUGCCAAGUUUUGACUGCGGCGAGGGAUACCAAGUUUUGACGGCAGCGUGGGAUACCAAGUUUUGACGGCGGCGAGGGAUACCAAGUUUUGACUGCGGCGUGGGAACAUCACAUCGACGGCGGCGAGGGAUCCAGCGUGCUGAUUUGCUUCUUUGUUACUUUUUUUCCAUCCAUCACUCCACUAAAUUCAUUGCCAACAAUAAUAAGGAUGGUUUUUUUCUUUCUAUUCCAAACAAAUUCACCUAAACUAUAUUGAAAUUUGAAUUCCUCUGAUAACGACACCUUCGAAAUUGUGUAGAAUUUGUAUUAUAAUCAUUUUUUUUUAUUUAAAACAUUUAAAAUUUCCACUAAUCAUAUUUUUUGGUUUUAUGUAACAAAAAUUGUUAAAUAAAAUUUGUUAUUUGAAAAAAGUAAAUGAAAAAAAAUAUUAAAAGAAAAUAGUUUCACUUGCAAAUUAAAUACAUCAAUAGAAACCUCAAACUUAAUUAAUAAAAAAAUGUUUGAUUGAAAAAAUUAAA